rnacentral:rRNA from 1 species
UACGGGGGGAGCAAGCGUUGUUCGGAUUUACUGGGCGUAAAGGGCGCGUAGGCGGCGCAACAAGUCACUUGUGAAAUCUCCGGGCUUAACCCGGAGCGGCCAAGUGAUACUGUCGUGCUAGAGUGCGGAAGGGGCUACUGGAAUUCUCGGUGUAGCGGUGAAAUGCGUAGAUAUCGGGAGGAACACCUGCGGCGAAGGCGGGUUGCUGGGCUGAUACUGACGCUGAGGCGCGAAAGCCAGGGGAGCGAACGGG